GCCAGUUCAUGUGUCAACGAGCGCAAAUUGUGAAAGAUGGCUUGAAAAAAUUCAGUUCAGAGUUCAAAGCGCCACCUUGCAACAAACAGCGCCAUGGAAACAGCUGUGGAGUGUUUGCAUUGAUGACUGCCAAAUGUUUGGUCAUGAAAAAGCAUCCCACAAUGUUGCGACAGGCCCAUGAUUCAGUUUAUCGAGACUAGUCGUGAGACGCAGACUUCUGAUUCAUGGGGUGCGGCAAACAUAUCUGUGCGACUCGAUGACUUCACUGUAAAGACCCGCACGGCAUUAAAAUGGAUAUUAUCAA